rnacentral:rRNA from 1 species
GACGAACGCUGGCGGCGUGCCUAAUACAUGCAAGUAGAACGCACAGUUUAUACCGUAGCUUGCUACACCAUAGACUGUGAGUUGCGAACGGGUGAGUAACGCGUAGGUAACCUGCCUGGUAGCGGGGGAUAACUAUUGGAAACGAUAGCUAAUACCGCAUAAUAUUAAUUAUUGCAUGAUAAUUAAUUGAAAGGUGCAAUUGCACCACUACCAGAUGGACCUGCGUUGUAUUAGCUAGUAGGUGAGGUAACGGCUCACCUAGGCGACGAUACAUAGCCGACCUGAGAGGGUGAUCGGCCCAACUGGGACUGAGACACGGCCCAGACUCCUACGGGAGGCAGCAGUAGGGAAUCUUCGGCAAUGGACGAAAGUCUGACCGAGCAACGCCGCGUGAGUGAAGAAGGUUUUCGGAUCGUAAAGCUCUGUUGUAAGGGAAGAAAGGGCGUGAGAGUGGAAAGUUCACACUGUGACGGUAUCUUACCAGAAAGGGACGGCUAACUACGUG